UACGUAGGGUGCGAGCGUUGUCCGGAAUUAUUGGGCGUAAAGAGCUUGUAGGCGGUCUGUCGCGUCUGCUGUGAAAAUCCGGGGCUCAACCCCGGACUUGCAGUGGGUACGGGCAGACUAGAGUGUGGUAGGGGAGACUGGAAUUCCUGGUGUAGCGGUGAAAUGCGCAGAUAUCAGGAGGAACACCGGUGGCGAAGGCGGGUCUCUGGGCCGGUACUGACGCUGAGGCGCGAAAGCGUGGGGAGCAAACAGG
rnacentral:rRNA from 1 species